CCCACGUGUUCCAUCCAGAGCCCUUUAUUGCAAACCCCGCCCCCCUCCCUCCAUCCCGGCUUCUGAUUGGCCGAGGGGAGGGGGUGGCUCAGCUCCCAUUGGUCAGUGAUGGGGGGUGGGUGGGGUCAGGGCUCUCCGUGGGGCAGCCCCGGCUCAAGUCCGUCUGUGGGGCUGGAUGUGGGUCCGUCCGUGGGUCCGUCCGUGGGUCGGUCUAUGGGUCACGGGGGCGAGUGGGGGCCCUCCCCCCCCCCCCUCACUCCUCGCCGUGGGUCGGUCCGUGGGUCCAUCCGUGGGUCCAUGGGUCAAUCUAUGGGUCAAUCUAUGGGUCCAUCUAUGGGUCAAGUCCAUGAGUCCAUCCGUGGAUCCAUCCAUGGGUCAAUCUAUGGGUCAGUCUACGGGUCCAUCCAUGGGUCAGCCCAGUCUAUGGGUCCAUGGGUCCAUCAAUGGUUUGGUCCAUGGAUCCAUCUAUGGGUCAAUCUAUGGGUCAAUCUAUGGGUCAAGUCCAUGAGUCCAUCCAUGGGUCCAUCCAUGGGUCAAUCUAUGGGUCUGUGGGUCCAUCCAUGGGUCAAUCUAUGGGUCAAGCCCAUGAGUCCAUCCAUGGUUCAAUCUAUGGGUCAAUCUAUGGGUCCAUGUGUCCAUCCGUGGGUCGCUCCGUGGGUCGGGGUUGGUUGUGGGUUGGUUGUGGGGUGGAGGGGUGACAUGUGGGGCGAUGUGUGGGGCGACGUGUGGGGCGCCGUGUGGGUCCAGCCCCCCACGUCUCACUCCUCGCCGUGGGGCCAGCGCAGGCACCACUCGCAGGCGUUUUGGAACAUGCGCAACCAGGGGGCCGGGGUUGGGGACCCCCGCGCCGUGGGGCAGGAGGACCCCGACCCCCCACCCCCACCCCGCGCCGUGGGGCGGCCCCACGCCGGGGGCCACCAGCCCCACUGCCAUGGGGUGACCCCCCGCUCGGGGUGGGGCAUGAGGGCCAGGUGGCGGCCGCAGGGGGAGCAGAGGGCGGCGGCGCCCCCCCCCGAGCCGUUGGGGUUCAG
rnacentral:lncRNA from 1 species